CUGCUGGAGGUUUUGUGUUAUUAAUAAUAUGUGUAACGUUGUGGAUUUGGCUGAAAAAGAAAAAGCAGCAAGUUUCUGAGAAACCUGAAGUGACUUACGCUGAUGUGAAUGUUACAGCUCACAGUGCAGAGAGAGUUAAAGAGG